UAUAUAUAUAUAUAUAUAUAUAUUCGAUAUUUUUAACGAUGAAAAAUCUAUUUUUGCUAAAUUGCCAACAGAGGUGGGAAAUGUUUUUUUUCUUUCUGGGAACUCUGUGUAGGGCUCAACAUUUUCUACAAAAGAUUACAAUAACUGUCCUGUUGCCAUGUGAAGCAAUAUGUUUUCAAGACUGAUAAAGCUGAUUAAUUCUGUCACGUGAUUCUGUAUAGUAGUCAUAGUAGUUACAGCAUUAGAAACAAAUUUCCUACUGCAGGCUAUAUAAAUGUUUUUGAUAAAACUGUUCCGCUGUAAUUUAGGUAUUGAGUUAGUAGAUGAAUUAAAUAUUCAAUCAUUUCAAUAGUAAUUUAGAUAUUCAAUCAGUUUAAUUUUCAAAAUUAGCGAUCAGACAUAAAAAAUGUCUGUGAAAAUUUCUGCAAAAAUGUAGAUUCCAAACAAUUUCUGGGAACUAGGUUCCCAGGUUGCGAUACGUUUUCCACCUCGUAUUGUCAAUAUGGGACUCAAGCAAGGAGGAUGACAAACGCAACAACAACACAACAUUUAUGUUUCUGUAAUUGACGUCACACACGCAUUGCAGUUUCAGGUUAUGUUGUAAGCGUGUUGCCAUCCUACAUGCUUGCGCCCGUUAUUAUCAUGAAAACCGAUUCUGCACAACAUGUGUCGAUUAGUGCAACUGCUGAAUUUCUGUUGCCUUAACUUGAUACCGCGUGACUGCUAGCGCAAUGAAGCAUUUAAUUCACUGAUCUUAACAGCCUCUCGCGCUGUGGAGGAAAGAGAUUUUGCAUACAAGCGGUGGUAGCCGCCAAGGAAACACGAUCUGUCGCUAUGUAGAUCGAGUAAUUUAUCAUUCCAUAUAAGUAAUCACUUGCGAACUGAGUGCAAUCACUUAGAUUAUUUACGCUAUAUACAUAAAAAAUUAGAAUUAUAUACGUAUUACCCACAAUCAAGUUUGAUGUUUGUGAUUGCAAUGACUACACAUAUUGUUGCAAAGUGUUGUGCUAAACUAUUGACAACUCUCAGUUGGGGUAAUUUUACUUACGACGCAAAGUACUUUGAGAUCCUGUUUACUCGCCACCAGAUCAGCGUGUUGUGCAGCAUCGAUUUUCUUAAACGCUUUCAAAUUACUGUACGUACAAUAUGAAAAUUUCAAUUGAAUUAAAUGUCUUUAGGAC